GACGAACGCUGGCGGCGUGCCUAAUACAUGCAAGUCGAGCGAAUCGAUGGGAGCUUGCUCCCUGAGAUUAGCGGCGGACGGGUGAGUAACACGUGGGUAACCUGCCUGUAAGACUGGGAUAACUUCGGGAAACCGGAGCUAAUACCGGAUACCUUCUUUUCUCGCAUGAGGGAAGAUGGAAAGAUGGUUCUGCUAUCACUUACAGAUGGACCCGCGGCGCAUUAGCUAGUUGGUGAGGUAACGGCUCACCAAGGCAACGAUGCGUAGCCGACCUGAGAGGGUGAUCGGCCACACUGGGACUGAGACACGGCCCAGACUCCUACGGGAGGCAGCAGUAGGGAAUCUUCCGCAAUGGACGAAAGUCUGACGGAGCAACGCCGCGUGAGCGAAGAAGGCCUUCGGGUCGUAAAGCUCUGUUGUUAGGGAAGAACAAGUACGAGAGUAACUGCUCCUACCUUGACGGUACCUAACCAGAAAGCCACGGCUAACUACGUGCCAGCCGCCGCAGUAAGAC
rnacentral:rRNA from 1 species